rnacentral:rRNA from 2 species
UCAAAGGAAUUGACGGGGCCGCACAAGCGGUGGAGCAUGUGGUUUUAAUUCGAAGCAACGCGAAGAACCUUACCAGGUCUUGACAUCCCGAUGCUAUUUCUAGAGAUAGAAAGUUACUUCGGUACAUCGGUGACAGGUGGUGCAUGGUUGUCGUCAGCUCGUGUCGUGAGAUGUUGGGUUAAGUCCCGCAACGAGCGCAACCCUUGCCAUUAGUUGCUACGAAAGGGCACUCUAAUGGGACUGCCGGUGACAAACCGGAGGAAGGUGGGGAUGACGUCAAGUCCUCAUGGCCCUUAUAGGUGGGGCUACACACGUCAUACAAUGGCCGGUACAGAGGGUAGCCAACCCGCAAGGGGGAGCCAAUCCCACAAAGCCGGUCGUAGUCCGGAUCGCAGUCUGCAACUCGACUGCGUGAAGUCGGAAUCGCUAGUAAUCGCGGAUCAGCAUGUCGCGGUGAAUACGUUCCCGGGUCUU